rnacentral:rRNA from 1 species
UACGUAGGGUCCGAGCGUUAAUCGGAAUUACUGGGCGUAAAGCGUGCGCAGGCGGUUUUUGUAAGCCAGAUGUGAAAAUCCCCCGGGCUUAACUUGGGAACUGCAUUUGGGACUGCAAGGCUGGAGUACGGCAGAGGGAGGUGGAAUUCCACGUGUAGCAGUGAAAUGCGUAGAGAUGUGGAGGAACACCGAUGGCGAAGGCAGCCUCCUGGGCUAGUACUGACGCUCAUGCACGAAAGCGUGGGGAGCAAACAGGA